rnacentral:rRNA from 1 species
CAGUAGCCGCGGUGGUACGUAGGGUGCAAGCGUUAAUCGGAAUUACUGGGCGUAAAGCGUGCGCAGGCGGUUUGUUAAGACAGAUGUGAAAUCCCCGGGCUCAACCUGGGAACUGCAUUUGUGACUGUAUAGCUAGAGUACGGUAGAGGGGGAUGGAAUUCCGCGUGUAGCAGUGAAAUGCGUAGAUAUGCGGAGGAACACCGAUGGCGAAGGCAAUCCCCUGGACCUGUACUGACGCUCAUGCACGAAAGCGUGGGGAGCAAACAGGAUUAGAUACCCCUGUAGUCCCUGUCUCUUAUAA